CUCCAACGAAUUGCCGCCAUCGAGCGCCAUCA
rnacentral:scRNA from 1 species